rnacentral:lncRNA from 1 species
GAAGCUACUGUAAUGCUUUCAAAUAUAUGCAAAUGAUACAUGCGGUUAGUGGUUUGGCAAAUCUUGAUUACAAUAUAAACUACCCAAGUAAAAGUGCCUUCGUCCUAAAUUUGUCUCUCGAUUACAAUUCCAAUUGAUUUUAUUUUAUUGUCAACAUUGUUAAUGAUAAAAAUAGAGUCGUUUUACAGUUAUUUUUACUUUCUGGAAGGAGGCAAUUAGAGUUCUAAUCAGGAAUACACAAAAAUCUCCCAUGAUUAACUGCAGUACUUUGUUCAAAUUGCUGCUAUAAAAUUCAGAACAAUUUGCCUGUAAUGAUUAUGGACUGGGUUUAUUUUGGGAGGUGGAAUAAAAGUGGAUAUAGCAUAAAUUAUCCUCUAAUUAUACACCAGUGUCGCCUCAAUUAUCCUCUUAUCAAAAUGGUUGUCUAACUGCCGCAUUUAGUUUCAAUUCUCUCCUUUUUUUCUAUAAAAAGAACUUCAUACCUUGUUAUUAUUAAUCCAUUUAUUAUUUGCAAGGGGAUUUAUAUCCGCACAUCCAGGUGGUAGAACCACUUCUCUUUCAAAGAUGGACUGGGGAAAGACAUUAAGUUCGGAGCAGCCCAAGGCUGCGGAUCUAGCCUUUCUCCCUCCGGUCUCCAGACCCACGCAGGUUAAGGCAGCCAAGCAGAGACAGCGGAGCCCCGGUGCGUGGUUCAGGCCUGGUCAACAGGUAGGAGGGCCAGACUGGGGGCCAGGCACAGAGGAGGGCAGGCCCGCCCGCACCGGCGUCCAGGGUCCCGGGUUCCGGGUCCCGGGACUGGAGGAGGUCGCCGGCAGCCCGCCCUUCCAGAGGCUUGAGAUUGGGUGGACGAGACCUGAAGAUCCUCUCGGUCUGGACCCCGACUUUCGAUCUGCUUAGAGACCUAAGCCGCGAGCCUUUGCCCACACGGAGAAACGUACUAUCUAAUAUCUAACAACCCUGUACUGCAGUGUCUGGAGGUUGCGGGAAGGAGACAGUGUCUCCCUUUGGGAAAACUACUGAGGACUUCUGUAUAUCCUACUUCUUCUGGACUCCAUAAGUUACAGGACCGAAGGAAACUGAGAAAUAGAGAAAAGGUGCCGCUUGCCCCUUUAACUCCAGAAAAGGGUGGCUGCAGAUGGAGCAGCUUGGACUUUAUUUUUUACGUUGCGCGAAGCCCGCCGGCAGCGGCUUAUGCCAAUUGAUUUUCCCAGCUCCCAGCCCUGGAUGUCUAGCUAUCUCCAGGACAGUUUGUUUUUUUCUUUUUCUGUCUUUCUUUCUUUCCUUCAAUGUAUCAGAAGACCUGAAGCUCGCUGCCCGCGAGUUUCCUCCGAGUUCCCAGGUCAGCGGCGUUUGCGCUCCUCUCCCCCUCCUUUUCCCAGCCCGUUGCGCUUAAGUUCUUGAGUCUGGGGAGCCGGUUCAGUAACUCUGAAUUCAUUUUUAAGUGGCGUGCCCUGUUCCCCACCUUUUAACAAGAGGUGCACUUUAACACGCGAACCAGUAACACGAUCUACACGUUUACAAAUCGGCAAUGAAUUAAAACAACAACAGAAAAGCUUCAUGGAAAAAGAAAGACAGAGUCUUGCUCUAUUGCCCAGGCUGCAACUGGUGUGAUCUCGGCUCACUACAACCUCUGCCUCCUGGGUUCAAGCGAUUCUCCUGCCUCAAGCUCCCAAGUAGCUGGGAUUACAAGCAUGCACCACCAUGCCUGGCUAAUUUUUGUAUUUUUAGUGGAGACGGGGUUUCGCCACAUUGGCCAGGGUGGUCUUGAACUCCUGACCUCAAGUGAUCCACCUGCCUUGGCCUCCCAAAGUGCUGGGAUUAUAAGCAUGAGCCACUGCACCCAGCCUUAUACUGAACUUUCAAUGGGUUCAAUUCCACUAGGAGCAUAAAGGCCACUGCAUAUGAGUUGUGGAAAGAAGAGAUUAGAAGAAGGAAGAACUUGAGAUGAGUUCCUCCCUUCAACAUUCUGUCUCCUCCUACCUAGCAUCUUCUUUCUUUUAGUCUUUCUAGAAUGUCCAUCUGUUUUUGGCCAUUGCGGAGAGAGAAGCUGAGCUUUAAAGGAGUAGGAGCUUCAAAGGCGUAGGAGCUUCAAAAUUCUUGUUUCUUCAUGUUUGAUCACCCUUCUAAACCUGUCUUCUGUUCCUUCUGCUAUUCUUUUUUCUUAGAGCAUAGGAAAGGGGAGCUUUUAAAUUAAUACUUAAAGCAUGGAAAAAAAGAACUUGAGAAGAAAGUAAAACAAGGGAGAUGAGGCUAGUAAAGUAAGGAAAAUGAAGAGGAAGAGGAGGAAGGGUUAGCUUCUAAAUUCCAAGUCAAAUUGAUAUGGAACAGGCAAGCCGCUUGUCUUACUUAAACUUCAGAAAAGGAUCUGCUGAAACUUGAUAGAAAUGGAAAGGGAAAUCCUUGGGGUGGGGAACCUCCAAACAUUAGUAAUGAUAUUGAACAACUCAAAGUAUUGAGGAAAUCUGCAGGCUACAUGCCUGAAGAUUACCCAUGCAGAUAGACCAAAAGGAUUAGAAUUAUCUGUUGAUAUUAGUAAUAUUUAUUGACAUCUAGCUAGUAUUGGUAAUUUUAAGUUUUAGAUUAAUUUCUUUGGUAAUAGCUAUGAUAUAUUUUAUAGACAAGAAUUAUAUCUAUAGGCUUGCUAUCAUAGGCUCUUUUAAUCAGCAUUAAUUUAGUCUACUGAUUUUUAGCACAUUUGAAUCAUUCACUUAUGCUAGGUAACUCAUUGCAAAAUAAAAAGAUGAUUCCUGUAUGUAUGGCAGCUAUACAUUAAGGAGGAGUCUACCAGAAUAUGAAAAAGUCAGCUGACCUAAAUAUUGCUGAGACAAAGGAAAACCCACUCCCUUGGAGGAGCAUGACCUUUUCCUGUAAUUCUUCCCACUGCUGUUGUUGAGCUCCUUGGAUCCUGGCUCCUGGACACCAUCAUCAAGAAGACUUUAUGGAUGGGCUGUCCACCCACUGAGAGAAGAGGAGCAUCAGCUACAGUUUCUCUCUAGAUUGCCUUCUUCAUUUUGAGUAAUGACUGUCAGCAGGGUCAGAUUAAACACAAAACAACUGGACAAUUGCUUGGAGGACUAAACUAUAAGGGCACUAACAUGUCAAUAGUAGGCUAACACAUCCAUGGAAAAUAUAUUUACCAGCUCUUCUCUCAGGGAGGAUUCUGUGUGGGGUUGGAAGUAAUGAUUUGUUAAAUUCCUUAGGGGUAGAAAGUAGGGCAUAAUCAGAAUAUAGAGGAAUAUGCUGUUUGACUUCAGGGUUUCUGUUUUUCUUACUAGGAUAUAUAAAACAGGGACUCUAGCUAGAUUGUUUAUGACCACAGAGGGUAGGCUGAGUGCUCCCAUGAUCUUCCUGCUUGGUUCUUGCCCAUACAGAGGUCAGCCUUUCCUCUAAUAAAGAUUGAACAAGUAGUGGUCUGAGGG